UACGUAGGCAGCGAGCGUUGUUCGGAGUUACUGGGCGGAAAGGGUGUGUAGGCGGUUGUUUAAGUUUGGUGUGAAAUCUCCCGGCUCAACUGGGAGGGUGCGCCGAAUACUGAAUGACUUCGAGUGCGGGAGAGGAAAGUGGAAUUCCUGGUGUAGCGGUGAAAUGCGUAGAUAUCAGGAGGAACACCGGUGGUGUAGACGGCUUUCUGGACCGUAACUGACGCUGAGACACGAAAGCGUGGGUAGCAAACAGG
rnacentral:rRNA from 1 species